AUGUUCACUGUUAUAUUCAUGUGUCUGUGGCUUUCACUCGGUGACUCCAUGGCAGAUUCAAUAAAGCCACUUUUCACUCAGACAGUUAUAGAUGAAGGCAGUGAUGUUACUCUGUCCUGCAACUAUCAGUCAACUAGUACUGUAUCACCCACCCUGCAAUGGUACAGACAAUAUCCAAAAUCCAAACCUGAGUUCCUUCUUUAUAUAUCACAAAGUGGAUAUAAAAGUGACUCAAUCCCACCACGUCUCUCUGCUGAAGUUGAUGAAAAGAAUAACCAAGUGGAUCUGCGCAUCUCCUCUGCUGCUGUAUCAGACUCUGCACUAUACUACUGUGCUCUG